rnacentral:rRNA from 1 species
UACGGAGGGUGCGAGCGUUGUCCGGAAUUACUGGGCGUAAAGGGCUCGUAGGCGGCCAACUAAGUCAGACGUGAAAUCCCUCGGCUUAACCGGGGAACUGCGUCUGAUACUGGAUGGCUUGAGUUUGGGAGAGGGAUGCGGAAUUCCAGGUGUAGCGGUGAAAUGCGCAGAUAUCAGGAGGAACACCGAUGGCGAAGGCAGAUCUCUGGGCCGUAACUGACGCUGAGGAGCGAAAGCCAGGGGAGCAAACGGG